CUGGCGGCGUGCUUAACACAUGCAAGUCGAACGAAGCAUCCUCCCGAAGAAACGGAAGUGCUUGCACAGAAGUGGAUUCAUUGGGAUGACUAGUGGCGGACGGGUGAGUAACGCGUGGGCAACCUGCCCUAUAGAGGGGGACAACAGUUAGAAAUGACUGCUAAUACCGCAUAGUAAUGCAGAUCCGCAUGCUUCUGCAUUGAAAGCUUUUGCGCUAUAGGAUGGGCCCGCGUUUGAUUAGCUAGUUGGUGAGGUAACGGCUCACCAAGGCGACGAUCAAUAGCCGGCUUGAGAGAGUGAACGGCCACAUUGGGACUGAGACACGGCCCAAACUCCUACGGGAGGCAGCAGUGGGGAAUAUUGCACAAUGGGGGAAACCCUGAUGCAGCCGACGCCGCGUGAGUGAAGAAGUAUUUCGGUAUGUAAAGCUCUAUCAGCAGGAAAGAUAAUGACGGUACCUGACUAAGAAGCCCCGGCUAACUACGUGCCAGCCGCAGC
rnacentral:rRNA from 1 species